rnacentral:rRNA from 1 species
UACGUAGGGGGCAAGCGUUGUCCGGAUUUAUUGGGCGUAAAGAGCGUGUAGGCGGCUUUACAGGUCCGUUGUGAAAACUCGAGGCUCAACCUCGAGACGCCGGUGGAAACCGUAAAGCUAGAGUCCGGAAGAGGAGAGUGGAAUUCCUGGUGUAGCGGUGAAAUGCGUAGAUAUCGGGAGGAACACCUGUGGCGAAAGCGGCGCACUGGACCAUAACUGACGCUGAGGCGCGAAAGCUAGGGGAGCAAACAGG